GGAGGCGGGUGUCUUCCUCAGGAAUUUGAGCUGGGGAUCUGCAUCCUGGCCAUUGCAGUCCUUUAGCAUCCUCGCCGCGCCCUGAGCGCGCUGGAGGCUCGCAGGCUGCGCCCUCCCAGGGCUGAUGCCGCGUCCUGCUCCGCCGUUCUGGGACGUCGGGGACAAAAGUGGAGGAGACGGGAGAGCCCGGGCAGAAAAAGCAGGACGCGCGUCCCAGCUGCCGUGAAGAUGCCAAACCCACCAAGACUGCGCUGCCCCACCUCUCCGAGGCUGUCCUGGGAGUGCGGGUGACCCGCGAGCUCCAGAAUCUUUCCUUAAGGUGGAGCCACAGCGCCACCUCGCGAUCCUCCAGCUUCCCUCCCUCAUGGCCACGGAAGGCUGGCCCUUUCUGGUCCAAGCCCCCAGGGUCCCACACUUACUGGUUUUCCAUGCACUUUCAUUAUUUCCCUUUCUCUCUCUUCAAUGUUCCCUUAUCCUGAGUAUUGAGGUCCCCAAACGCGCCUUUCUACCCCACGUUUGGACAUAGCCGGAAUGUCUACCUCCUUCUCCAUCCGGUGAAGCACUGCUC
ensembl:lncRNA LINC02202 long intergenic non-protein coding RNA 2202